UAUUAAUUUAGCCUAGUAAGUUGUUGUUGUUGUUUUUUAAUAAAAGUAAUUUUAUUAAUAAUUAUUUUGAGUAUAUUGUGUAGAAAUUAUAUAAUAAGGGUUUAUAGAGAAUUAGUACUGUAAAGGAAAGUUGAAAUAUGUGAAAAUAUAAUUUUAAGGAAGUAGAAAUUUUUUCGUACCUUGUGUAUCAGGGUUUAUUUAGAUUAUUUUAUUGAUUAUUAAUUUUCCCGAAGUGAAAAGAGUUAGAAAUAUAUUAUGGUUGAGGUGGUAAUUUCAUCAUUAAUAUAUUUUUGGUAGUGAUAUGUUAGUCGUUUUUUAUGAUAUCUGGUUUUUUAAGAGAUAAAUUUAAUUUAUUUUAUGUUGGUAUAUGGAUUUUAUUUACAAGUAAUUAUUUAUGAAGAUAUAUUAUAUAUUCUUGGGGAUAAGCUGGGGAAUAAAAAUUAUAAAGAAUUGUUGAUUAUGGAUUUUGUAGGCUUUAAAUUAGCUUUUAAUUGAAAUUUGUUAUAAAUUAUUUAUUUAAGUUAUUGAUUUUUAUUCUUUUAAUUUGUGUAUUAAAAUGAUUUAAUUAAUUGUGUUAUAUUUGGAAUAAUGGUGGAAUGAGUAUAGAAUUUAGUGUAUUUAGAUAAAAUUAAAUUUUUAUUAAUUAGAUUUAAGGAAUUCGGCAAAAUAUUUAUUCGCAUGUUUAUCAAAAACAUCUCUUUUUGAUUUUUAUAAAAAGUAGGGCCUGCCCACUGAUGAAUUGAAGGGCCGCGGUAAACUGACCGUGCAAAGGUAGCAAAAUCAUUAGUCUUUUAAUUGAAGGCUGGAAUGAAAGGUUUGAUGAAAUAAAGACUGUCUUUUUUUUAUAGGUUGAAUUUAACUUUUUAGUUAAAAGGCUAAAAUAAAGGUAAAGGACGAGAAGACCCUAUAGAGUUUUACUUUCAAUAAUUUAUAUUAUUUUGGUUGUAUAUUUAAUAUUGAGUUAAAGAUAGUUUUGUUGGGGUGACAUGAAGAAUUAGUAAACUCUUUAUAUUAAUAGACAUUAAUUAAUGAAUAUAAGAUCCAAUUUUAUUGAUUAAAAGAUUAAAUUACCUUAGGGAUAACAGCGUAAUUUUCUUUGAGAGUUCUUAUCGAUAAGAGAGAUUGCGACCUCGAUGUUGGAUUAAGAGUAUUUUUAGGUGUAGAGGCUUAUUAAAAUAAGUCUGUUCGACUUUUAAAUUCUUACAUGAUCUGAGUUCAGACCGGCGUGAGCCAGGUCGGUUUCUAUCCUUAUUAUUGUAAAAGAUUUUAGUACGAGAGGACCAAAUUUUUAAAAUAUUUUUUUUGUAGUUGAGUGUUAUUAAAAUGACUAUUUUGGCAGAUAAGU
rnacentral:rRNA from 1 species